GCUCUAGCAUUUUAGGAUUUUGUUUCUUAGUCCAGAAACUGGAGCCAGCUUCCGAAGGAUGACUUGGCAAUACAGGCCUCUCUGCUUGCCAGACUCUCCUACUUCUGCCCCCGACUUCUGGCCAGAUUAGAGAUAUGAAACAUUGCUUGGCAUGCUCAGAAACGCUGCCCUUUGAAAAUCUGCCAGACAAGGGUAAGAAUGGAGUCAUCUCUGGAGCCUGCUCCCUCCCUGCUGCAUCCAGCUGCACUUAGCAUUCAGCCCCUCGCCUUCCUCAGCACAGCAAUUACAUGCUCAGCAUCCACCUCGGAACUGUGGUCUUGCUCUGUUGCCCAGGCUGGACUGCACUGACACAUUCAUGGCUCACUGCAGCCUCCAUUCCCUGGCCUCAAACAGUCAUCCAUCCUCAGUCUCCUCAGUAGCUGGGACCACAGGUGUGUGCCACCAUGCCCUGCUAUUUUUUUAUUUUUUGUAGAGAUGGGGUCUCAUUAUGUUGCCCAGGCUGGUCUUGAGCUCCUGAACUCAAAGUGAUCCUCCUGUCUUGGCAUUUGAAAGUGUUGGGAUUAUAGGCAUGAAUUCCCAUGCCUGACCUAUGUGCUGAUCAUAUUCAUUAGCAUUUAUUAAAGUAGAAAUUAAAACUGAG
rnacentral:lncRNA from 1 species